rnacentral:rRNA from 1 species
CCUACGGGCGGCAGCAGUAGGGAAUAUUGCUCAAUGGGGGAAACCCUGAAGCAGUAACGCCGCGUGGAGGAUGAAGGUUUUCGGAUUGUAAACUCCUUUUGUUAGAGAAGAUAAUGACGGUAUCUAACGAAUAAGCAACGGCUAACUCCGUGCCAGCAGCCGCGGUAAUACGGAGGGUGCAAGCGUUACUCGGAAUAACUGGGCGUAAAGCGCGCGGAGGGGGGAUAGCAAGUCAGAUGUGAAAUCCUAUGGCUUAACCAUAGAACUGCAUUUGAAACUGUUAUUCUAGAGUAUGGGAGAGGUAGGUGGAAUUCUUGGUGUAGGGGUAAAAUCCGUAGAGAUCAAGAGGAAUACUCAUUGCGAAGGCGACCUGCUAGAACAUAACUGACGCUGAUGCGCGAAAGCGUGGGGAGCAAACAGGAUUAGAUACCCCAGUAGUC